GAGAUAACUGUCUCGAAUGAACUCGACAAAACAGUCCCGUAACUUCGGGAGAAGGGGUGCCCCCUCACAAAAGGGGGCCGCAGUGACCAGGCACGGGCGAAUGUUUACCAAAAGCACAGGUCUCCUCUAAGUCGCAAGACCAACGUAUGGGGGUUGACGCCUGCCUAGUGCCGGAAGACCAAGGAAGUUGGUGAACUGAUGACAGGGAAGCCGGUGGCCAUAACUAUAAUGGUCCUAAGGUAGUGAAAUUCGUUGUCAGAUAAGUUCCGACCUGCACGAAAGGCGUAAUGAUCUGGGCACUAUCUCGGGGAGAGUCUC
rnacentral:rRNA from 1 species